rnacentral:rRNA from 1 species
GACGAACGCUGGCGGCGUGCCUAAUACAUGCAAGUAGAACGCUGAAGGAGGAGCUUGCUUCUCUGGAUGAGUUGCGAACGGGUGAGUAACGCGUAGGUAACCUGCCUGGUAGCGGGGGAUAACUAUUGGAAACGAUAGCUAAUACCGCAUAAUAGUAGAUGUUGCAUGACAUUUGCUUAAAAGGUGCAAUUGCAUCACUACCAGAUGGACCUGCGUUGUAUUAGCUAGUUGGUGAGGUAACGGCUCACCAAGGCAACGAUACAUAGCCGACCUGAGAGGGUGAUCGGCCACACUGGGACUGAGACACGGCCCAGACUCCUACGGGAGGCAGCAGUAGGGAAUCUUCGGCAAUGGACGGAAGUCUGACCGAGCAACGCCGCGUGAGUGAAGAAGGUUGUCGGAUCGUAAAGCUCUGUUGUAAGAGAAGAACGAGUGUGAGAGUGGAAAGUUCACACUGUGACGGUAGCUGACCAGAAAGGGACGGCUAACUACGUG